UUCUCAUAAGGGAUGGCAAUAGGUGCAACCUGGCCAGACUCCCCUACGUAGAGCCAUACCUGUCUUCAUAGAGCCAAACAUGGCGUACUCUCCAUUUUCUUAGUUGCGAGGUGCACUUUUACAUUGGGACUCAAGCAAAACUUUAGGCAACACCAUUAUACAAAUGAGUUGUUACCCGUUUUCUCAUUGUCCUGUUACGUAACUUCC
rnacentral:lncRNA from 1 species